rnacentral:rRNA from 1 species
GACAGAGGGGCCGAGCGUUAGGCGGAAUCACUGGGCUUAAAGCGUGUGUAGGCGGAUGCCUAAGUACCUUGUGAAAUCCCACGGCUUAACCGUGGAACUGCUUGGUAUACUGGGUGUCUUGAGCCACUUAGGGGCGACCGGAACAAACGGUGGAGCGGUGAAAUGCGUAGAUAUCGGAAGGAACGCCGGUGGCGAAAGCGAGUCGCUGGGCAGUAACUGACGCUGAGGAGCGAAAGCGUGGGGAGCAAACAGG